rnacentral:rRNA from 1 species
CCUACGGGUGGCAGCAGUGAGGAAUAUUGGUCAAUGGGCGCGAGCCUGAACCAGCCAAGUCGCGUGAGGGAAGACGGUCCUAUGGAUUGUAAACCUCUUUUGUCGGGGAGCAAAAGACGCCACGCGUGGCGUUCCGAGAGUACCCGAAGAAAAAGCAUCGGCAAACCCCGUGCCAGCAGCCGCGGUAAUCCGGAGGAUGCGAGCGUUAUCGGGAUGUAUUGGGGUUAAAGGGUGGGCAGGCGGAAGAUCAAGUCAGCGGUAAAAUUGAGGGGCUCAACCUCUUCGAGCAGUUGAGACUGGUGUACUAGAGUGAGCGAGAGGUAUGCGGAAUGCGUGGUGUAGCGGUGAAAUGCAUAGAUAUCACGAAGAACACCGGUUGCGAAGGCAGCAUACCGGCGCUCAACUGACGCUGAUGCACGAAAGUGAGGGUAUCGAACAGGAUUAGAUACCCUAGUAGUC